GACCUACUGUCCAUUUCUUUUCCAGUUGGAGAGAGUACCAUCACCUGAUCACCGCCGGAGAAGCUACCGAGACUUGGACAAGCCCCGUCGUUCUCCCACAUUGCGCUAUAGGAGGAGUAGGAGCCGGUCUCCCAGAAGGCGGAGUCGGUCUCCUAAAAGGAGGAGCCCCUCCCCUCGCCGAGAAAGGCAUCGGAGCAAAAGCCCAAGACGUCACCGCAGCAGAUCUCGAGAUAGACGGCACAGAUCCCGCUCCAAGUCCCCAGGUCAUCACCGUAGUCAUAGACACAGGAGCCACUCAAAGUCUCCUGAAAGAUCUAAGAAAAGCCACAAGAAGAGCCGGAGAGGGAAUGAGUAAUGGACUCAGUUUGGUAUUAGUCCAAAUGACCACCUGUGGAUCCGAAGGCAUCUAUGUGGAGGGCUUAAGAUCUACUCCCCAGGCAGCUAUGAGAAUAUUUUAGGUCUUUUUAACCAUAUUUCUCCACUUUUCUUUUUCUUAAAUGAAAGAGGUGCUGAGUUUUGUAUCUCUCUGAGUCAUACUUCGCAUUUGAGGGAUAGUGCUUCCCAAGGGCUGCUUUGGACCCCGUUGUGUAACCAACCUUGACUAUACUCAAAUUUAUAAGGGUAGAAAGGAUUUGAGGGGUGGAGAGGAUGAAUGACAAGGACAGGAUGUGGCUGGCUGUUGACCUUUUUGUUAUUAAAUUUUAUACACCCAUUUUCCUGUAGUUCAGUUGUUUGGCUCCAUGAUGGUAACUGUUCUGAGAAUCCUGAGAUCUGUGCUGCUGCUAUUACACUCAAAAAUCAAGUCAGUAAAACCUAUUACCUCUGUUUUUCCCCUCCCCCAACACGUCCAUGUAGUAAUAAUAGCAUGAAAACUGACGAGUUAGCAGCAGCUUUGUAAGAAGAAAAGAAUGCAUUCAAAUGUAAGACUUCUUCUCUGGAUCAUUUAAUCCAAUUGCAUUGAACAGUUCAACAAUGAAACUGAAGCUUAAUACCUUUUAUACAACAUUCUUAUACAAUACUACUUCUUCCCCAGGAGCCUUGAAUUCUAGGUUAUGGUGCGCAGCCUUUAUCUUGUAAGCACUGACAUUAUCCAAGUAUAGUCGGUAGCAGUAGGGCAACAAGAUUGAAAAGAAGAGAAAAGUAUCUAAUACCACUCGGGGUUUUGACCUGAAUUGCUGGAAAAUAGUGCCAUUCAUUCAUAGAGCUACAAAAUACAGCAGGAACAGGCCAGGCUUUACAGGGGCAUGUGGUCAAAGUUGUGCUGGUAGUAAAAAGUGAUGCAUUCAAUUUAUCCUGAAGUGUAAUUAGAGGCUGCCAUGGUAUAACUAGAUAAAGCCCAGGUUGUUAGGAACUGGAGUUGAACAUAGUGAUCUAACCCUGAACUGACAACAUUCAGGUAACUGUGGAAUAUGCAGAAUUAUAUGGGAUUGCCCAGGAAGUGUUUAUGUAAGAAAAGCCAACAACAGAAUCAUUGGCAACACUCAACACUGGUGAGAGGAAGCACUGCAAUCAACCAACUGAAAAUGAACCACUCAGAAAGGAGACAGUAUGGCAAAGAAGCUAAGGGUCUGAGGAUUCAGAAGCAAAAUAAGAAAUGCAGAGUGUCCGUGGGCACUGAUAAUCAAGAGGGUGCUGGGAUCUUUGCUAGAAGAGUUCAGUCUACCAGUACUUAACCUUUCCUCCUCUAAAAACGGAAAAGUGAAAAAAAGGAAUGGGGGAGGGGGAGUGAUUUGACUUCCUGCAGCUCUGGACUCAGCAAGAAUUAUGGAGACCAACUGCCUCAUAGGAUCCAGUUUCUUGGGAAGUUAUAUCUGGUCAUAUGAUAAUUAUUCUUUUGCUUGCUAUUGAACUGAAGGACUUUUGCAAUAUUAAAGCAUUUUGAGAUAUUUGAGAUUUCAUGUUCUUCAGUGAUUCCUGAUAAUACUUGAGCUAAUAAAAGUUGACCAUAA